UGUGAACUCGAAGAGUAGGGCGGGACACGUGGUAUCCUGUCUGAAUAUGGGGGGACCAUCCUCCAAGGCUAAAUACUCCUGACUGACCGAUAGUGAACCAGUACCGUGAGGGAAAGGCGAAAAGAACCCCGGCGAGGGGAGUGAAAAAGAACCUGAAACCGUGUACGUACAAGCAGUGGGAGCACCUUCGGGUGUGACUGCGUACCUUUUGUAUAAUGGGUCAGCGACUUAUAUUCUGUAGCAAGGUUAACCGUAUAGGGGAGCCGAAGGGAAACCGAGUCUUAACUGGGCGUUAAGUUGCAGGGUAUAGACCCGAAACCCGGUGAUCUAGCCAUGGGCAGGUUGAAGGUUGGGUAACACUAACUGGAGGACCGAACCGACUAAUGUUGAAAAAUUAGCGGAUGACCUGUGGCUGGGGGUGAAAGGCCAAUCAAACCGGGAGAUAGCUGGUUCUCCCCGAAAGCUAUUUAGGUAGCGCCUCGUGAACUCAUCUUCGGGGGUAGAGCACUGUUUCGGCUAGGGGGCCAUCCCGGCUUACCAACCCGAUGCAAACUACGAAUACCGAAGAAUGUUAUCACGGGAGACACACGGCGGGUGCUAACGUCCGUCGUGAAGAGGGAAACAACCCAGACCGCCAGCUAAGGUCCCAAAGUCAUGGUUAAGUGGGAAACGAUGUGGGAAGGCACAGACAGCCAGGAUGUUGGCUUAGAAGCAGCCAUCAUUUAAAGAAAGCGUAAUAGCUCACUGGUCGAGUCGGCCUGCGCGGAAGAUGUAACGGGGCUAAACCAUGCACCGAAGCUGCGGCAGCGACGCUUAUGCGUUGUUGGGUAGGGGAGCGUUCUGUAAGCCGUUGAAGGUGUGCUGUGAGGCAUGCUGGAGGUAUCAGAAGUGCGAAUGCUGACAUAAGUAACGAUAAAGCGGGUGAAAAGCCCGCUCGCCGGAAGACCAAGGGUUCCUGUCCAACGUUAAUCGGGGCAGGGUGAGUCGACCCCUAAGGCGAGGCCGAAAGGCGUAGUCGAUGGGAAACAGGUUAAUAUUCCUGUACUUGGUGUUACUGCGAAGGGGGGACGGAGAAGGCUAUGUCAGCCGGGCGACGGUUGUCCCGGUUUAAGCAUGUAGGCGGAGGUUCCAGGUAAAUCCGGUACCUUUUAACGCUGAGGUGUGAUGACGAGGCACUACGGUGCUGAAGUGAUAAAUGCCCUGCUUCCAGGAAAAGCCUCUAAGCAUCAGGUAACACGAAAUCGUACCCCAAACCGACACAGGUGGUCAGGUAGAGAAUACCAAGGCGCUUGAGAGAACUCGGGUGAAGGAACUAGGCAAAAUGGUGCCGUAACUUCGGGAGAAGGCACGCUGAUA
rnacentral:rRNA from 4 species